GGAGUCUCAACCACUGGACCACCAGGGAAGUCCUGGCUCAUGGCUUUCUUGUGAUGAUCACAGAGUGGUUGCUGGUCUGGUCGUAGUUUAUGGAAUUCUGCUCUGGACUGAUGCAGCCUUCUGACCACGUCCAUGAAGACUCUCUUGACGUGUUCUCCAAGAGUACAGGGAGGCUAGAGUGAAAC